AUGAAUUUAUUUCUUUCCCAAUUUGGUACAAAAAAAAGAAAAAAAAAAAUAUAUUUUUUAAAAAAAUUAUUGAGUAAAAAAAAAGAAAUGGUUCAAAAUAGUAGGAACAAGACUAAGGUGAUCGAUAUGUUAUGUUUCUUAUCAAUGAGUAUAACAAAUAAAAAGUUAAAAUUACCUUUACAUAUUUAUAAAAAUAUUUUUAAACAUAUUUUUAAAUAUAUGUCAAAACCUACACACGAUAUAAAAAAGAGUAUCCAAUCUUUUUUUAAUAAUAUGUGUUUACGUAUUGUCUCUUAUGUUUUUGAAUUAGUUUUCAUCUUUUCAACUAAUUUAUAUUAUUUUACAAAAACAUUAGAUACAAAAUGUUAUAAUAAAAAAUGGAAUCUUUUUCUUUUUUUUUUUAACUUUAUUGAUGUAUAUAUUGGAUUUAUUGAAAAAUAUAAUAAAAAAAAUAAUACAUAUAUUUACUCUUUUUUAAAUUAUCUCUUUAUUCAAAUUUUUUUAUUUUUUUUUAAUUAUGAUGCUUGUACAUAUUAUGUCAUUAAAAAAAAUGGUCUUAAUGAUGAGGAUUGUAAGGAGGGUGGUUAUGAUGGUGGUGGUGGACCUACAUUUGAUUAUACAAACCAUUUGAGUGAUCAUCCAUCAGAGUAUUACAAAAAAACUAGCAAAAGCAACUUUUUUUUAAAAAAGAUAUACUACAUUAGUGAUAAAUACAUAUUGGAUAAUAACUUAUACAAUACUUUAUUACAAAUUAUACAUAGUCGUUCCCCAAUGAACAGUCUAACUUAUAUAGAAGACGUUACCUAUUUUAAGGAAUAUUAUUAUUCGUGGAUAGAGCCACAAUUAUAUAGUGAUAAAAAAGAAACUACAUUUACAAAACAGAAACAAUUUAAUACGCAUUAUUCUAACUACGCUUUAUAUAUUAUGCAACGAUUUAUUAAUGCGAACAAACCUGAGAUUAAUUGUUAUUUUUAUACUUUAUUAUUAUAUAUAGUAGCAAAAAUGCAUUUAUCAGGUAGUUAUAGAUAUAGAGAAGUUAAUUAUUUAGUAGUUUUACAUUUAUUACCUUGGUAUACUUCUCUUAUAUAUUCUAUAAAAAAUAAAUAUUUUAGUUGCUAUUUUUUUCAAACAUAUUAUGAAUGUGUUUUAAAAUUAAUACCAGAAAUAACAAUUGAAUUUAUGCAAAACGAUUUUUAUUUUUUUCAUCCCACUUGUUUAACAAUGGGAGCAGAGCAUGAUGGUUUGCUCAAGUAUAUAAAUUACAUACAUAAUGAGAGAAAAAAGGAGAGGGAAAAGGAGAGAGAAAAAACAGAAAAAUAUAGUACUAGUAUGGAUGCAAUUACUGGAACAACUAUAGAAACAAGUAGUGUACCACUCUUUAACCCCCAUACAAAUUUUAAUUUACACCUAGACAAAUACAAUGUGUAUGACAAACUAUUAAUUAUAAGUGAUAUUAUACAAAAACUGUUUUAUAAUCAACCAUCGAAUGACAAAAAUGUAUGUUUCUCUGUUUUAAACACAAAUUUAUUAAAAUAUUCUAACUUAGUAAUAUACUCUACCUUCUUAUCUAUAUUUAUAUAUAAUAAAUUAAUACAAAAAAAUGAAAUGUUAAUUAUUAAAAAAGAUUUAAUAGGAACAAUUUAUAAUUUGUAUAAUGAACAACUAUGUGCUCAUUAUAUAUCAAUGUUUCAAAACCCUUUAAAUUUAUUUUUAAAAAUACCUAAACAAUUAUCUAUAAAGUUAGUAGAAUAUAAUCACUUAGAUACUUUUUUAUUUUUUUUGUUCAUAAAAUUUUACAAUUAUUUGUCACUAAUACCACCUAAAAUAAGACACGAUGAUGUAUUUCCUAUAAAUGUAGAAGAUGUUCAUGCACUUCAACAAGUUUCAGUAAGCCAUUAUUUUGUAAAUGUAAAAAGGGAAGCUGUAGUAGAUGUAAAUGGUAUAACAGAUGUAAAUGGUAUAACAGACAUAACGCAAUAUAACCAUCCGAACACGAAUACGAAUACGAACGCGAACACAAAUGUGAAUGAACAAAAAAGGUACAAUAAUAAUAUAAGUAAUUCUUCUAAGUAUAUUUUUAAAGAUGUAGAUUUUUUUUUAAAAAAAAUGACAAGUCUUGUUAAAACAUUCGAAAUAAAUAAUUUACAAGGACUAUAUGAAUCUGGCUUUGAUAUAAAAAGUGCAUUAUAUUUAUCAAUUUAUUUAACUCCUUCUAUUAUAGAAAAUAUAUUUUUUUAUUUGGAUAAUAAUAUUAAAGCUUUGACAACUGAUCGUAAUUACUUAGAAAAGAACUUAGAAUAUUAUAGCAAAAUUUGUAUAAGUAAAAAAAAUAGGGACCGUGAUGAUGGUACUGUCACUUCCGCCACCAUUACCACUACUCCUACCACUACUCUUACCGUAACAGAUACAACAUUAGAGCCAUACAACAUUUUGGAUAAAACAACGUUUCAUUUACAAUUAGUAGUUUUUUAUGUUAUUAUUAAUGCUGGUAAUAAAAUAAUAAAUAUAAAAACAUAUGUAAAUAAAAUAUGUACUUAUUUUAACGAAUGUUUGGUAUUAGCAUAUACAGAAGAAUAUUUAAAAACUUUUAUUAUUUCGAUUAUACCUAUCAUGCUUCAAUAUUUUUAUUUUUUUCCUUCUUAUAUACACUCUGUUUUAUCAAUUUUAUCAUCCAAAAUAGAUAAUUACGAACAAAAUGAGUUUUUAGAACAUAUGCAAAUAUUUCAAAGAAAGGUAACUGCAAUAUUAGCAACUUCAUAUAAAUACAGUAAAGAUGAUGCGGAUGACGACGAUGUUGAUUCGUAG
ensembl:lncRNA